CCAACUUUGCUAUUAGAGUGGUCCUUCAAUAAGACUUUGGUAGACGCCUUCAACUUCAAGCAUAUAAAUCACGUUGUUAUAUUACGUACUAUCUUGCUUAAGAACGCAUUGUGUAUUUGGCUGUAGGAGGUAGUAUGGUGUUUCGCUAGUAUACAAGUAGUCUAUCGGGUUCUUGACUACCCAAAUACAAUCUAUAACUGAUUACAAUGUAAAAGCUUAAUUCCAAUAUAAAAUGCCUAGAAACCCUAUAUAACUUCAAUUUCUUUUGUUAUUUUUAUUUUAUUUUAUUUAUUUUAUGUUUUUUAUUUUAUCUUUAUCGUUAAUUACCUUAAUCCUAGACCGUGAACUUUGGCAAGCUGUGAUCCUUGAUCUAUCCUUUCGACUUGUUGUGAAACAUCUAUCGCUAGUGUCUCUACAAGCCCUUUCGAAUACUCAAGAAGUUCUAGUUCAACCUUGCUUAUAGAUUGUGAAACUAUGCUGCAAUUCGCACCGAUGUCCCUUAGCCACUCGCCGAUAUUCCUCUUAUCCCUAUUGGUAGGUCCCCAGUUAUUAUAGAAACCCU
rnacentral:lncRNA from 1 species